rnacentral:rRNA from 1 species
ACACCGGCAGCCCAAGUGGUGGCCAUUUUUAUUGGGCCUAAAGCGUUCGUAGCCGGCCUGAUAAGUCUCUGGUGAAAUCCCGCAGCUUAACUGUGGGAAUUGCUGGAGAUACUAUCAGGCUUGAGGUCGGGAGAGGUUAGAGGUACUCCCAGGGUAGGGGUGAAAUCCUAUAAUCCUGGGAGGACCACCUGUGGCGAAGGCGUCCAGCUGGAACGGACCUGACGGUGAGUAACGAAAGCCAGGGGCGCGAACCGGAUUAGAUACCCGGGUAGUCCUGGCCGUAAACGAUGUGGACUUGGUGUUGGGAUGGCUCCGAGCUGCCCCAGUGCCGAAGGGAAGCUGUUAAGUCCACCGCCUGGGAAGUACGGUCGCAAGACUGAA